CACGGAGUUAGCCGGUGCUUCUUCUGCGAGUAACGUCAAUGCUCAGUGCUAUUAACACUGAGCCCUUCCUCCUCGCUGAAAGUGCUUUACAACCCUAAGGCCUUCUUCACACACGCGGCAUGGCUGCAUCAGGCUUGCGCCCAUUGUGCAAUAUUCCCCACUGCUGCCUCCCGUAGGAGUCUGGACCGUGUCUCAGUUCCAGUGUGGCUGGUCAUCCUCUCAGACCAGCUAGGGAUCGUCGCCUAGGUGAGCCAUUACCCCACCUACUAGCUAAUCCCAUCUGGGCACAUCCGAUGGCGUGAGGCCCGAAGGUCCCCCACUUUGCUCUUGCGAGGUCAUGCGGUAUUAGCUACCGUUUCCAGUAGUUAUCCCCCUCCAUCAGGCAGUUUCCCAGACAUUACUCACCCGUCCGCCGCUCGUCACCCAGAGAGCAAGCUCUCCUGUGCUACCGCUCGACUUGCAUGUGUUAGGUCC
rnacentral:rRNA from 1 species